CCUACGGGAGGCAGCAGUGGGGAAUAUUGGACAAUGGGGGGAACCCUGAUCCAGCCAUGCCGCGUGUGUGAAGAAGGCCCUCGGGUUGUAAAGCACUUUCAGCGAGGAAGAACGCCUAGCGGUUAAUACCCGCUAGGAAAGACAUCACUCGCAGAAGAAGCACCGGCUAACUCCGUGCCAGCAGCCGCGGUAAUACGGAGGGUGCAAGCGUUAAUCGGAAUUACUGGGCGUAAAGCGCGCGUAGGUGGCUUGAUAAGCCGGUUGUGAAAGCCCCGGGCUCAACCUGGGAACGGCAUCCGGAACUGUCAAGCUAGAGUGCAGGAGAGGAAGGUAGAAUUCCCGGUGUAGCGGUGAAAUGCGUAGAGAUCGGGAGGAAUACCAGUGGCGAAGGCGGCCUUCUGGACUGACACUGACACUGAGGUGCGAAAGCGUGGGUAGCAAACAGGAUUAGAUACCCUGGUAGUCCACGCCGUAAACGAUGUCGACCAGCCGUUGGGUGCCUAGCGCACUUUGUGGCGAAGUUAACGCGAUAAGUCGACCGCCUGGGGAGUACGGCCGCAAGGUUAAAACUCAAAUGAAUUGACGGAAGGGCGAAUCGCGGCCGCUAAAUCAAUCGCCUAUACA
rnacentral:rRNA from 1 species